rnacentral:rRNA from 1 species
UAAGGUCACGGCGAGACGAGCCGUUUAUCAUUACAAUAGCAAUAGGUGUCAAGUGGAAGUACAGUGAUGUAUGCAGCUGAGGCAUCCUAACAGACCGAGAGAUUUGAAC